CGCGUAGGCGGGAUGGCAAGUCGGUCGUGAAAUCCUUCGGCUCAACCGAAGAACGUCGGCCGAUACUGCCGUUCUUGAGGGAUGCAGAGGAGACUGGAAUUCCCGGUGUAGCGGUGAAAUGUGUAGAGAUCGGGAGGAACACCGGUGGCGAAGGCGGGUCUCUGGGCAUCUCCUGACGCUGAGGCGCGAAAGCGUGGGGAGCAAACGGGAUUAGAUACCCCGGUAGUCCACGCCAUAAACGAUGACGACUAGGUGUGGGGCGGUUCAGUCCACUCCGUGCCGCAGCUAACGCAUUAAGUCGUCCGCCUGGGGAGUACGGCCGCAAGGUUGAA
rnacentral:rRNA from 1 species